rnacentral:lncRNA from 1 species
CCUUCACUGUAUUUCUCUGUAGAUUUAUUGCAGUAUGUCAAGGCAUAUAAACUUACUUUAGAACUGAAUGAUAAUUCAACACCAUGAAGAAAUGUCCCAUCCGAUGUCAUAGCAACACUUUGGUUAAAAUGGAUGUUAUACUGCUUUGAUGAAAAUUGUACUGAGGUAUUAUAAUGAGAGGAAAAAGAGAAUUUGUGAAAAACUCCAUUUUGU